rnacentral:rRNA from 1 species
UACGGAAGGCAGCAGUGGGGAAUAUUGCACAAUGGGCGCAAGCCUGAUGCAGCCAUGCCGCGUGUAUGAAGAAGGCCUUCGGGUUGUAAAGUACUUUCAGUCGUGAGGAAGGUGUUAAGGUUAAUAACCUUAGCAAUUGACGUUAGCGACAGAAGAAGCACCGGCUAACUCCGUGCCAGCAGCCGCGGUAAUACGGAGGGUGCGAGCGUUAAUCGGAAUUACUGGGCGUAAAGGGCACGCAGGCGGUUAAUUAAGUUGGAUGUGAAAUCCCCGGGCUUAACCUGGGAAUGGCAUUCAAGACUGGUUAGCUAGAGUCUUGUAGAGGGGGUAGGAAUUCCAUGUGUAGCGGUGAAAUGCGUAGAGAUGUGGAGGAAUACCGGUGGCGAAGGCGGCCCCUGGACAAAGACUGACGCUCAUGUGCGAAAGCGUGGGGAGCAAACAGGAUUAGAUACC